rnacentral:rRNA from 1 species
AGUGAACGCUGGCGGUAGGCCUAACACAUGCAAGUCGAACGGCAGCACAGUAAGAGCUUGCUCUUACGGGUGGCGAGUGGCGGACGGAUGAGGAAUACAUCGGAAUCUACUUUUUCGUGGGGGAUAACGUAGGGAAACUUACGCUAAUACCGCAUACGACCUACGGGUGAAAGCAGGGGAUCUUCGGACCUUGCGCGAUUGAAUGAGCCGAUGUCGGAUUAGCUAGUUGGCGGGGUAAAGGCCCACCAAGGCGACGAUCCGUAGCUGGUCUGAGAGGAUGAUCAGCCACACUGGAACUGAGACACGGUCCAGACUCCUACGGGAGGCAGCAGUGGGGAAUAUUGGACAAUGGGCGCAAGCCUGAUCCAGCCAUACCGCGUGGGUGAAGAAGGCCUUCGGGUUGUAAAGCCCUUUUGUUGGGAAAGAAAAGCAGCAGGCUAAUACCCCGCUGUUCUGACGGUACCCAAAGAAUAAGCACCGGCUAACUUCGUG